CCCGCCCCGGGCCCGCCCCCUUCCUGGGCGCCCCGCCCCCCGGACUUCCCUCUUCCGCCGGGAAGGGGCCGCGCUCUCCGGCCCAGCUCCGCGCCGAGGCCUGCUCGGGGCGGGGGUGGAGGUGGAGUGAAGUUCCGCGAGCUCCUUCCGCCUGUCCCACUUGUACGAACUGGUCUAACGCGGAGGCCCAGAGCCGAGCGGCGGGGGUGGGGGCGACCACAGCGGUGCGGUCCCGGAGCGAGCGGUGGAGACUGCUCUUGGUCCCGCUCUCCUUAGGUGAAGCUGCGUCCUCCUACCACCCAAGAUGGGGUGAAGUGCGUCGCUGCGGGUGCACACAUGUGACCCCCCCAACCUACGGCACCGUCGGAACUUUCCCUUGAGUGAGCAGCCGCAGAAGCCUGAGACUCUCACUGUGCCUGAUUAGCGAGGCUGGGGUGGGGGUGGGGGGUGCUUUCUAGCAUAGGGUUUUGUUUUUAUUUAUGUAUUUAUUUUACCUUUGCAAGAAGACUUUUAUCCUAUUUUGUGUAUGAAAAGCGUACAGGCUACUUUGGAGGUUGCAAUGCCUCUCUUUGAAAUCUUCCCUCCUUUUUUUUUUUUUUUUUUGGUAGAAAAAGUCAUGAAAUGCUUUUACAGUGUUUAGCCUGUGGGAUUUAGUACUUUUCAGAGAAAUUACCUCAGUAGAAUGGACGCUCUAACUUGAGCCCUGUUGGGCAGUGUCACCCAGGCCUGGCCUGGCUGGGACAGGCCUGUCCUUCUGUUUGGAUGGAGGCCCUUGGAUGAGGGCAGGCAUUUCACAGCCGCUUAAUCCCACAUCUAAGGCUGCUGAGACCAGAGCCAUUUGGAGCUGGAGUGGACCUGGACGUCCUGUGCUGAAAGGCACUCAGAGGCCGCUGAGCACCAGGCUCCUCUCAGCCACUACCGCCUCUUCCUCCCAGCUGGCUGAACAGAAUUCAGCACCUGUAGAAUGUGUGUUAUGUGCCAGUGUCAAUCUGAGGAACAGAGGCUCUCAGAGAAAUUUAUUCUGAGUAGGGCAUUGCCUUGGGAAUACAUGUGCCACAGUCAACUGUUACGUCACAUUCAGGGAGAAAAAGGAAGACCAGGGCUUUUAAAGGGAAAAAGGGGAGGAUUAAAUAAUUGUUUUGAGAUCUGGGGCAACAGAGAUCAAUAACAAAGGGGACAGCUGUCUGGGGCUAGGCAGGCAGUCACUGGGCAGACAUCCUUGCAGAAGUAUUUUUUGUGUAAGGCUUCUAUGGCCUUUGUGUGAGGCCGUGGCUUUUCCAGGGUGCUUGAUGUUAGCAGGCAUGCAGGCGUGAGGACCCCCUUCCUGGCUUCCCCAGCUCUGCGUGUCAAGAGGUUCUCAGCAUGAGUGAUUCUGCUUGGAUUCUAAUAGUGUUCCCACAGAACGCCAAGCCUGGGGGCACACAGACAUAGUUACGGUUUGGUUCCUGCCCUCCAGCGGGUCACAGUCACCAAACUAAACCAUGGCCUCAACCUUGAGCUUGCGAGUAGGUCUGAAUGGCCGCUGUGCAGGUCAGGCUCACAGAGGGGCAGUGGAGCCUCAGACAGCCUGGAGCCAGUUGCUCAGAUGCCAUCUGUGUGACCGGCCUCCCACCACUGGCCACAGUGGGGCCUGAGAGCUUUUGGAUACAGAGGCAGUUCUGGAGGCUGCCAUCUACGAUUUAAGGUGCUGGUGGGUUCGGUGUCUGGUGAGGCCUAUUCCUCACAUCUCAGAGGAGCAGAAGGGCCCUGCUCAGCCUCACUGACAAGAGCGCACUAAUCCAGCCACGCAGGGUGCCAGCAGGUUGAUCACACUCCAAAGGUCUCACCUCUCCAUAGCAUCACCUUGGGGUUAGGUCUUCAGUGCGGGGACAGUCACAGCCCGGCACAUACACAGCUAGAACAACACAGGGAGUAUUUGGGUCCUCACUGCCGCACACAACCCACACACAGGGUGCUGCCCACUCUGUGCUCUGUGGGUGACCAGGCCUGGCUGCACAGCUCUGCUGGAUGAGGUCCAAGCUCUUAGCUGAGCACAGAGGCCCUGCUCACUCCCAGGCUGUAACCUGCUAUUUCAGGUGUCUCCCUGCUGCACAUGGUUUUCUCCGUGAGUCUCAGACACACAUGAUGUCACUGCCUGGCAUUCUGAUUCUCAUACGAUCCUCCCCUGUCAGCCCUGGGCUCCGACCCAUGGGGCCCUACAAGCGCAUUCCUUCUGGAACCUCCUGGGAAAGCUCCCGAGAGACCCGUGGCAGGAACAUCAGAGUCUCUCUGCCUCCUGGGUGCCUUCUGUGACGGUCAUCCCUCCUGCUGGAUUGAGAACUUCUGCGGAGAGGACGGAGCUAUGUUGCCCUGGACAGCUGAGUCAGACAGGAAGCAUCCCCUCAUCAGGACCAGGCAGCGUCUGGGAAGCCCAAAGUCUGUCCUCAGAGAGGCCGGCAGCUUGGGAAGAGGUCCCCGGCUGUAAAACGGGAUCUGGGACCACGUAAGAGCUACAGAAUUCAAAUGCAAGCCAGGGGGACUCUUGGAAGCCUGGAAGCAGGUAGGGAAAAGACGGCAAAAAUAUGUGCGCCAAAACAAAACACCAUUUUCCAGAGACAUGAAUGCAAGAGCCGAUACCAAUGUUGAAACAUGUUCCAUAUUUCAUGGUAUAUUAAGUGAAACAAGUACUUCCCAAAAGAAAAUGUCUUUAAAAUGCAAAACAAAAAUUUAAGAACAAAACAUGAAUGAACCCUAAUGAAAAGCCUGAGCUGGUUAACAGUUGAUCUGUGCACGGUGAGAUCCAGCUUACCUAUGUCCUGUUUUUAUUUUCUACAUUAAAUAUGCAUCACUCUCAUAAUUCACACAGAAAAGAAGCUAUGCGUAUGUGUCUCUGUGUGUACAUGUGCAUAGACAGAUCGGUGGUUCAUAAACAGAUGGUAGAUAAUGGACAUGUCUGAAAAAGGAGAAAGAUAAUGAAGGCAGUUUUAAUUAAUAGACUCGUAUUUUAGCAGCUCUAGGUUUACAGAAACAUUGAGCAAUACAGAGUUCCCAGCCAGGUGCAGUGGCACACCUCUGUAAUCCCAGCUCUUUGGGAGGUCGAGAUGGGAGGGCUCUGGAGUUUAGGACCAGCCCAAGCAAGAGAGGGACCCUGUCUUUACUAAAAAUAGGAAAAUUAGCUGAGAGUGGUGGCAGAUACCUGUAGUCCCAUCUACUCAGGAGGCUGAGGCAUUAGGUUUACUUGAGUCCAAGAGUUUGGGGUUGAGGCUGGGUGCGGUGGCUUAUGCCUGUAAUCCUAGCCCUCUGGGAGGCUGAGGUGGGUGGAUUGCCUGAGCUCACAGGUUUGAGACCAGCCUGAGCCAGAGCGAGAUCUUGUCUCUAAAAAUAGCCAGGCAUUAUGGCAGGUGCCUGUAGUCCUAGCUGCUCAGGAGUCUGAGGCAAGAGAAUCACUUGAGCCCAGGAGUUUGAAGUUGCUGUGAGCUAGACGACAUGGCACUCUACCAAGGGCGACAAAGUGAGACUCUGUCCACCCCCCCAAAAAAAAUAAAAGAGUUUGGGGUUGCU